AAACUUCUAGUAAAACUAUUGCGCAGCCUUGUCAAGGCUGAUUUGUGGGUUAAAGCCCCACGGAGUUUG
rnacentral:tRNA from 1 species